CAAAGCGUUCCGAAUGUCUCGGCGUCUUUUCGAAAUAUUAAUUCGUAUAUAAUAAUCGUUACAUAUUACGUUACACGCUAUUAUAAGACUCGCGAUAACUACCUAAAUAUUAUUACACUUUCAUCCGCGCAUCUCAUAAUAUAUUCGUGUAUGUUUAGCAAAAAUAAAUUAUUAUCAGUUGACGUAAUGCGCUCCGUGUGUUUAUAAUGUAUAUGUAUAAUAAUAAUAACAAGUAACGAAACAACAGUUUUUUUAAUUUUUUAUAUAUUUUUCUUUAAUUAACGUCAUUUCAAAUGCGUAAUUUAAUAAUUGCACGUGAACAUAAUGCUCUAAUAAUACAUAAUAGCAAUUUAAUUACUCAUUAGCCCGUUUCCUAU